rnacentral:rRNA from 1 species
GGUGGGAUCCCGGACGCUCUNGGCGCACCACCGGCCCGCCUCGCCCGCAGCGUCGGGGAGGUGGAGCAUGAGCGUGCGCGAUAGGAUCCGAAAGAUGCUGAACUAUGCCAGGGCAGGGC